AUAAGUUCAAUAUUUUAUCAGCUAGGGAACUAAUAAUCUAUUUUAUCAGCUAGGGAACUAAUAAUCCUAGACAGUAUUUAACCCCAACGAUGCCUUCAUUUACUAAUAAUUGUUACAGUAUAUGUGGAUUGCAUGAGCCCUUUCCAUCAGUUUGUACUUUUGGUUGCGUUGGCUAGUGCAUGAAGCUUAACAUGGUAUCAGAUUAAGGUCUUGAGUUCAAGUCCUGGCUUUCGCAAUUUAUUAAAAAUUGCUGGUAGCCCCCCUUUGUGUCCACGUAGAGGCCUCUUGAGUCAUACGUUAGUUUCGCGCAUCGUCGCUCUCUUCUAGUUGCACGUGUUGACUUGUCUUCCCCGUCACACGUGAGAGGGGGUGUUACAAUAUAUGUGGAUUGCACUAGCCCUUUCCAUCAAUUCGGACUUUUGGUUGCGUUGGCAAGUGCAUGAAGCUUAACAUGGUAUCGAAGCUAAGGUCUUGAGUUCAAGUCCUGGCUUUCGUAAUUUAUUUUAAAAAUAGCCGGUACCACCUUUGUAUCCACAUAGAGGCCUCUUGAGUCAUACGUGAGUUUCGCGCGCCGUCGCUCUCUUCCGGUUGCACGUGUUGACUUGUCUUUCCCGUCACAGCAUGAGAGGGAGUGUUAAAGUA
rnacentral:lncRNA from 1 species